rnacentral:rRNA from 1 species
GACCCUACGGGACGCAGCAGUCGGGAAUAUUGCGCAAUGGAGGAAACUCUGACGCAGUGACGCCGCGUAUAGGAAGAAGGUUUUCGGAUUGUAAACUAUUGUCGUUAGGGAAGAUAAAAGACUGUACCUAAGGAGGAAGCCCCGGCUAACUAUGUGCCAGCAGCCGCGGUAAUACGUAGGGGGCAAGCGUUAUCCGGAUUUACUGGGUGUAAAGGGAGCGUAGACGGCGUGCCAAGUCUGAUGUGAAAGGCCGGGGCUCAACCCCGGGACUGCAUUGGAAACUGGCAUGCUGGAGUGCCGGAGGG